rnacentral:rRNA from 1 species
GAUUAACGCUAGCGGCAGGCAUAAUACAUGCAAGUUGAACGGGAUAAGUUUAGCAAUAAACUUUGAGAGUGGCGCACGGGUGCGUAACACGUAUGCAACCUACCCGAUACAGGGGGAUAGCCUCUCGAAAGAGAGAUUAAUACCCCAUAACAUAGAGUAUAGGCAUCUAUAUUUUAUCAAAGUUCCGACGGUAUCGGAUGGGCAUGCGGUUGAUUAGCUAGUUGGUGAGGUAACGGCGCACCAAGGCGACGAUCAAUAGGGGGUCUGAGAGGAUGUCCCCCCACACUGGUACUGAGACACGGACCAGACUCCUACGGGAGGCAGCAGUAGGGAAUAUUGGUCAAUGGGGGCAACCCUGAACCAGCCAUGCCGCGUGCAGGAAGACUGCCCUAUGGGUUGUAAACUGCUUUUGUACGGGAAGAAAUGUCACUAUGCGUAGUGAUUUGACGGUACCGUAAGAAUAAGGAUCGGCUAACUUCGUGCCAGCAGCCGCCGUAACAC